rnacentral:rRNA from 1 species
UAACGUGUGGGCAACCUGCCCUGCNCUGGGGAAUAAUCAUUGGAAACGAUGACUAAUACCGCAUACGGUUCCUGGGAGGCAUCUUCUGGGAAAGAAAGGAUUUAUUCGGUGCAGGAUGGGCCCGCAUCUGAUUAGCUAGUUGGUGAGAUAAUAGCCCACCAAGGCGACGAUCAGUAGCCGACCUGAGAGGGUGACCGGCCACAUUGGGACUGAGACACGGCCCAAACUCCUACGGGAGGCAGCAGUGGGGAAUAUUGCACAAUGGGCGAAAGCCUGAUGCAGCAACGCCGCGUGAAGGAAGAAGGGUUUCGGCUCGUAAACUUCUAUCAACAGGGACGAAAGAAAUGACGGUACCUGAAUAAGAAGCCCCGGCUAACUACGUGCCAGCAGCCGCGGUAAUACGUAGGGGGCAAGCGUUAUCCGGAAUUACUGGGUGUAAAGGGUGAGUAGGCGGCAUGGUAAGCCAGAUGUGAAAGCCUUGGGCUUAACCCGAGGAUUGCAUUUGGAACUAUCAAGCUAGAGUACAGGAGAGGAAAGCGGAAUUCCUAGUGUAGCGGUGAAAUGCGUAGAUAUUAGGAAGAACACCAGUGGCGAAGGCGGCUUUCUGGACUGAAACUGACGCUGAGGCACGAAAGCGUGGGGAGCGAACAGGAUUAGAUACCCUGGUAGU